GGACUGGGAGAGAUGGUGCCAGCCGCCGCGGUAAUCCCAGCAGUCCAAGUCGCAGCCAUCAUUAUUGGGUCUAAAAUAUCCGUAGCUUGCUUAAAAAGUUCCUUGUGAAAUCCGGCAUCUCAAGUGUCGGGCGCGCAGGGAAUACUCUUGAGCUAGAGACAGGAAGACGUAAGAAGUACGUUCGAAGUAGCGGUAAAAUGUGUUAAUCUCGGACGGACUAACAACAGCGAAGGCAUCUUACGAGGACUGUUCUGACAGUUAAGGAUGAAGGCUAGGGGCGCAAAGUGGAUUAGAUACCCAUGUAGUCCUAGCAGUAAACUCUGCACACUAAACAUUAGUACCUCUCCGAGAGGUAUUGGUGCUGGAGGGAAGCCGAAGAGUGUGCUACCUGGGAAGUAUAGCCGCAAGGCCGAAACUUAAAGGAAUUGGCGGGGAGACACUACAACGGGUGACGCGUGCGGUUCAAUUAGAUUCUACACCGUGAACCUCACCAGGACCGACAGCAGAAUGAAGGUCAGUCUAAAUGGGCUUACCUGACAACGCUGAGAGGUGGUG
rnacentral:rRNA from 1 species